rnacentral:rRNA from 1 species
AUUUAACGCUGGCGGCAGGCCUAACACAUGCAAGUCGAGCGAGUGGCGGACGGGUGAGUAAUGUCUGGGGAUCUGCCCGAUGGAGGGGGAUAACUACUGGAAACGGUGGCUAAUACCGCAUACUAUCGGAUGUGCCCAUAGGGGCUUAGCUAGUUGGUGGGGUAAAGGCUCACCUAGUCGACGAUCCCUAGCUGGUCUGCGAGGAUGAUCAGCCAACCUGGGACUGAGACACGGGCCAGACUCCUACGGGAGGCAGCAGUGGGGAAGAUUGCUCAAUGGGGGCCACCCUGACGCAGCCAGGCCGCGUGGAUGAAGAAGGCCUUCGGGUUGUAAAGGUCUUUCGGUGGCGAGGCGUUAACUACAGAAGAAGCACCGGCUAACUCCGUGCCAGCAGCCGCGGUAAUUC